rnacentral:rRNA from 1 species
GACGAACGCUGGCGGCGUGCUUAACACAUGCAAGUCGAACGGUAAGGCCUUCGGGUACACGAGUGGCGAACGGGUGAGUAACACGUGGGUGAUCUGCCCCCUACUCUGGGAUAAGCCUGGGAAACUGGGUCUAAUACCGGAUAUGACCUCCUUCUGCAUGGUUGGUGGUGGAAAGUUUUUUCGGUAGGGGAUGAGCCCGCGGCCUAUCAGCUUGUUGGUGGGGUAGUGGCCUACCAAGGCGACGACGGGUAGCCGGCCUGAGAGGGCGACCGGCCACACUGGGACUGAGACACUGCCCAGACUCCUACGGGAGGCAGCAGUGGGGAAUAUUGCACAAUGGGCGAAAGCCUGAUGCAGCGACGCCGCGUGGGGGAUGACGGCCUUCGGGUUGUAAACCCCUUUCAGUCGGGACGAAGCGAGAGUGACGGUACCGAUAGAAGAAGCACCGGCCAACUACGUGCCAGCCGCCGCCGUAAGAC